rnacentral:lncRNA from 1 species
UGAUUGUGUUUAAUUCCCCAUACCACACUGCCUUGCAUUUCCCAUUGACUUUAAUGUUUUGCAGAUAUCGAUAAUCAUGAUGACAGCUGCAGAGGUGAGAUCAUGUUGGUACUGGAAUCAAGAAGACCUGGAUUCACAUCCUACUUACCAUCUUUUCUGUUUUGGUGAAUUUGGACCCUAAAUUGAUGCUCAAGGACACGUGAAGAGGAGCCAAGUCACUUUUUGUGAUGAAU